rnacentral:rRNA from 1 species
AUUGAACGCUGGCGGCAGGCUUAACACAUGCAAGUCGAGCGGGGUGAUGGUGCUUGCACUAUCACUUAGCGGCGGACGGGUGAGUAAUGCUUAGGAAUCUGCCUAUUAGUGGGGGACAACAUCUCGAAAGGGACGCUAAUACCGCAUACGUCCUACGGGAGAAAGCAGGGGAUCACUUGUGACCUUGCGCUAAUAGAUGAGCCUAAGUGGGAUUAGCGAGUUGGUUGGGUAAAGGCCUACCAAGGCGACGAUCUGUAGCGGGUCUGAGAGGAUGAUCCGCCACACUGGGACUGAGACACGGCCCAGACUCCUACGGGGGGCAGCAGUGGGGAAUAUUGGACAAUGGGGGGAACCCUGAUCCAGCCAUGCCGCGUGUGUGAAGAAGGCCUUAUGGUUGUAAAGCACUUUAAGCGAGGAGGAGGCUCUUUUGGUUAAUACCCAAGAUGAGUGGACGUUACUCGCAGAAUAAGCACCGGCUAACUCUGUGCCAGCAGCCGCCGCCG